UGCCUUACAAGCAGGGGGUCACAGGUUCGAGCCCUGUCGCGCCCA
rfam:[Clostridium] purinilyticum strain DSM 1384 CLPT_23c, whole genome shotgun sequence.